GGGACCCGCACAAGCAGCGGAGCGUGUGGUUUAAUUCGUUGCUACACGAAGAACCUUACCUGGGUUUGACAUAUAGGUUGUAGGGAACUGAAAAGGGACGACCCUUCGGGGAGCCUAUACAGGUGUUGCAUGGCUGUCGUCAGCUCGUGUCGUGAGAUGUUCGGUUAAGUCCGCUAACGAGCGCAACCCUCGUCGUAUGUUAUAUGUGUCAUACGAGACUGCCGGUAAAAAGCCGGAGGAAGGUGAGGAUGACGUCAAGUCAGCAUGGCCUUUAUAUCCUGGGCUACACACACGCUACAAUGGGAAGGGACAAUAGGUUGCGAAGCCGCGAGGCGGAGCCGAUCCAGCAAAACUUCCCUCAGUUCAGAUUGCAGGCUGCAACUCGCCUGCAUGAAGUUGGAGUUGCUAGUAAACGCAGGUCAGCCAUACUGCGUUGAAUACGUUCCCGGGGCUU
rnacentral:rRNA from 1 species